UUCCUCUCCCUCCCUCUCCCCACGCCACUCUCCCUACUCCCUCUCUCUCUCUAUCUCCCUCUCUCUAGCUCCACAUGCAACAGCAGCCCCCCUCCCAUGGAGCUGACGACCGAGCCCUCCCAAGCUCCACUCUCACCUUGGCAAGCUCUCCCAUGGCGUCUCCCCCUCCUCUACGGCAGUAAGGUGUAGGACUGAGAGAUGACGAUCGUGCAAGUGAUGUGGUGCCAACCACAAGAUGCAGUUGGUGGACGAUCUGAAGAGAUGAUGGACUUAUCCAGUGGAUGCUCGCCAAGCGAGUACCCACCCCAGCAAACACUAUCUAAGUGU